CGUAGGGUGCAAGCGUUAAUCGGAAUUACUGGGCGUAAAGCGUGCGCAGGCGGUUUUGUAAGUCAGAUGUGAAAUCCCCGAGCUCAACUUGGGAACUGCGUUUGAAACUACAAGACUAGAAUAUGUCAGAGGGGGUAGAAUUCCACGUGUAGCAGUGAAAUGCGUAGAGAUGUGGAGGAAUACCAAUGGCGAAGGCAGCCCCCUGGGAUAAUAUUGACGCUCAUGCACGAAAGCGUGGGGAGCAAACAGGAUUAGAUACCCUGGUAGUCCACGCCCUAAACGAUGUCUACUAGUUGUUGGUGGAGUAAAAUCCAUGAGUAACGCAGCUAACGCGUGAAGUAGACCGCCUGGGGAGUACGGUCGCAAGAUUAA
rnacentral:rRNA from 1 species